GGCCCACUUAGGUCAGAGCACCGCCCUGUCAAGGCGGAAGCUGUGGGUUCGAGCCCCGU
rnacentral:tRNA from 1 species